rnacentral:rRNA from 1 species
UGGGGAAUAUUGCACAAUGGGGGAAACCCUGAUGCAGCGACGCCGCGUGAGCGAAGAAGGUUUUCGAAUCGUAAAGCUCUGUCCUAUGGGAAGAUAAUGACGGUACCAUAGGAGGAAGCCCCGGUUAACUACGUGCCAGCAGCCGCGGUAAUACGUAGGGGGCAAGCGUUGUCCGGAAUCACUGGGCGUAAAGGGUUCGCAGGCGGAAAUGCAAGUCAGUUGUGAAAGGCAGAGGCUCAACCUCUGUAAGCAAUUGAAACUGUAUUUCUUGAGAUGUGGAGAGGCAAGUGGAAUUCCUAGUGUAGCGGUGAAAUGCGUAGAUAUUAGGAAGAAUACCGGUGGCGAAGGCGACUUGCUGGACACAAACUGACGCUGAGGAACGAAAGCGUGGGUAGCAAACAGG